GAUGAACGCUGGCGGCGUGCCUAAUACAUGCAAGUCGAGCGAACGGACGAGAAGCUUGCUUCUCUGAUGUUAGCGGCGGACGGGUGAGUAACACGUGGAUAACCUACCUAUAAGACUGGGAUAACUUCGGGAAACCGGAGCUAAUACCGGAUGAUAUUUUGAACCGCAUGGUUCAAAAGUGAAAGACGGUCUUGCUGUCACUUAUAGAUGGAUCCGCGCUGCAUUAGCUAGUUGGUAAGGUAACGGCUUACCAAGGCAACGAUGCAUAGCCGACCCGAGAGGGUGAUCGGCCACACUGGAACUGAGACACGGUCCAGACUCCUACGGGAGGCAGCAGUAGGGAAUCUUCCGCAAUGGGCGAAAGCCUGACGGAGCAACGCCGCGUGAGUGAUGAAGGUCUUCGGAUCGUAAAACUCUGUUAUUAGGGAAGAACAUAUGUGUAAGUAACUGUGCACAUCUUGACGGUACCUAACCAGAAAGCCACGGCUAACUACGUG
rnacentral:rRNA from 1 species